GAAAAUUUAUAGUUAGUUGCUCUCAGCUAAAAAAUUCUUGUUGCAGUUCUUGCUAUAUGUCUCCUUGCCUUUUCGUCCACCUUCUAGUAUAAUGUACUUAUUGGAUUUCUAUGAGCAUCUACAUUGAUUUUCCUUCUUCUCAUGAAUCUAAAUGUGUUUUCCAUUGUAAGAAAUUGUCAAGUGCUUCCUUUUUUAUGCUGUUACAUCUAAUGUGUGGAAGGAAAUGAUGAUUUAUUUUCACUCUUUUUUGUGUGAUAGUGAAAUUAUUUUUAUUUGUGGUGAUUCUGAGAAGGUUUUUGAAGCUUAAGGUAGAUUUCAAAGCAUAUCCAACUAAAAAAAUGGAUCUAACAGAUUUCAUAUUGCCUUAGAGUUUGUUUUCUAACUCCAAGCAACCAAAUUGGGGAGCCAGUUCAAAAUGCUUUCAUCUGAACUGGAGGAAUGUGACCGCUUUGGCUUCGCAUCUAUUACAUUAUUUGUCAUCUUUUGUCAGUGUUCUUUGAAAUCAUCAUCGGUGGGUUAGAAUUUCAUGGAUAGAAAUCCAAAUUUGCAAUGAAAACAAAAUACGAAAUUAUGGCUUCCAUAUUAUUUCAAUGACUGUAAUAUCAGUCCUUUUCAACAGUCACUCAAACAUUAAUGAAAGUCGUUUGUGUCCAUCCUUAUUAAGCUUAAAUGAUAUGUGAACUUAUUUUUGCAGGUAUUACAAAGUUAUCGAAGCUGAUCACAUAUUUUUUAUUAUAAAUCGGGAGAGAGCAGGAGUUCAGUUUGAUCUUUUGUAUGAUAGCAUUUUUGAGCGCUGCAGAAAGCAUGUUUUCCGGAUGACUCCACCACCAGUAGUUCCAAAUCACAGCAACCAUUAGGCCAUUUGUUCUCCAUAGUUAGUUGAAGGUCAGGUUGCGUUCCUUAGGAGCAUUUGGAAUAACAUAGUAAAUGCUAAUAUAGUGUUAGACCGGUCCUUGAACUGGUCUAGCCGAUCCAUCCUGGAUCGACCUUAUUUUACCAGAGUCGGAACAGAUGUUUCGCCCCAGCCAAUGCAGACCCGUUUGGGGGUGGGUUCCAUUAACCAUAUUAACAAGGGUAUAGGAAGGAAAUUUUAAAAGGAGAGGCUGUUUUGGAACUAGGGGGAAUUAUUGUAUGCUUUUAGGGGAAUUAUUUUCUUGGGUUUGGAUUAUUGAAUGUUUUUCUGAGUUUUAUUUUCCUAAGGAGAAAGAGGGACUCUAGUGGGCUGCUAGGGUUUGGGAGAGCCGGAUCUUUCUCUCAAAUCAAAUAUCCAUUGUAUCUUGCUUGUUUUCUUCUUCCUACCAUCAAUUAAAACAUGUCUUUUUUUUUGUGUUUCUAUCAAAA